rnacentral:rRNA from 1 species
ACGUAGGUGGCAAGCGUUGCCCGGAAUUAUUGGGCGUAAAGGGCUCGCAGGCGGUUUCUUAAGUCUGAUGUGAAAGCCCCCGGCUCAACCGGGGAGGGUCAUUGGAAACUGGGGGACUUGAGUGCAGAAGAGGAAAGUGGAAUUCCACGUGUAGCGGUGAAAUGCGUAGAGAUGUGGAGGAACACCAGUGGCGAAGGCGGCUACCUGGACAGGUACUGACGCUGAAGCGCGAAAGCUAGGGGAGCAAACAGGA